UAGGGAAUAUUGCAAAAUGGGCGAAAGCCCGAUGCAGCAACGCCGCGUGUGCGAUGAAGGCCUUCGGGUCGUAAAGCACUUUUCGAGGGGAUGAGGAAGGACAGUACCCUCGGAAUAAGUCUCGGCUAACUACGUGCCAGCAGCCGCGGUAAAACGUAGGAGACAAGCGUUAUCCGGAGUUACUGGGCGUAAAGGGCGUGCAGGUGGCGUCUUAAGUCUGUUGUGAAAGCGCCUGGCUUAACCGGGCGAGGCCAAUGGAGACUGAGAGGCUGGAGGACGGCGGAGGGGUGUGGAAUUCCGGGUGUAGUGGUGAAAUGCGUAGAGAUCCGGAGGAACACCAGAGGCGAAGGCGGCACUCUAAGCCGUACCUGACACUGAGACGCGGCAGCACGGGGAGCAAACG
rnacentral:rRNA from 1 species